rnacentral:rRNA from 1 species
CCUACGGGGGGCAGCAGUGAGGAAUAUUGGUCAAUGGUCGGAAGGCUGAACCAGCCAAGUCGCGUGAGGGAGGACGGCCCUGUGUGUUGUAAACCUCUUUUAUAAGGGAAGAAUAAAUGCUACGUGUAGCAUGAUGCGUGUACCUUAUGAAUAAGCAUCGGCUAACUCCGUGCCAGCCGCCGCGGUAAUACGGAGGAUGCGAGCGUUAUCCGGAUUUAUUGGGUUUAAAGGGUGCGUAGGCGGUUUUUUAAGUUAGUGGUUAAAGGUCGGGGCUAAACCUUGAUUUGCCGUUGAUACUGUCAGACUCGAGUUCAGACGAGGUAGGCGGAAUAAGUUGAGUAGCGGUGAAAUGCUUAGAUAUCACGUAGAACUCCGAUAGCGAAGGCAGCUUACCGG